rnacentral:rRNA from 1 species
UACAGAGGUCCCAAGCGUUGUUCGGAUUUACUGGGCGUAAAGGGUGCGUAGGCGGUCGGGUAAGUCUGAUGUGAAAUCCUGGAGCUCAACUCCAGAACUGCCUUUGAUACUGGCGAUCUCGAGUCCGGGAGAGGUGAGUGGAACUGCGAGUGUAGAGGUGAAAUUCGUAGAUAUUCGCAAGAACACCAGUGGCGAAGGCGGCUCACUGGCCCGGUACUGACGCUGAGGUGCGAAAGCGUGGGGAGCAAACAGG